GCCCGCUUGGCGGAAUUGGUAGACGCAACGGACUUAAAAUCCGUUGUCCUUCGGGACGUGCCGGUUCGAGUCCGGCAGCGGGCACCA
rnacentral:tRNA from 1 species